rnacentral:rRNA from 1 species
AUUGAACGCUGGCGGCAGGCCUAACACAUGCAAGUCGAACGGAGCGGCGGACGGGAGAGUAAUGCCUAGGAAUCUGCCUGGUAGUGGGGGAUAACGUCCGGAAACGGGCGCUAAUACCGCAUAAUGUCAGAUGAGCCUAAGUCGGAUUAGCUAGUUGGUGGGGUAAAGGCCUACCAAGGCGACGCUCCGUAACUGGUCUGAGAGGAUGAUCAGUCACACUGGAACUGAGACACGGUCCAGACUCCUACGGGAGGCAGCAGUGGGGAAUAUUGGACAAUGGGCGAAAGCGUGAUCCAGCCAUGCCGCUUGGGUGAAGAAGGUCUUCGGAUUGUAAAGCACUUUAAGUUGGGAGGCGUUACCAACAGAACAAGCACCGGCUAACUGCGUGCCAGCAGCCGCGGUAAUAC